rnacentral:lncRNA from 1 species
UAUUCUUAUGUUGUUUUUCACUAACUUGUUUGCUCGUACCUGCAGCUAUAUUUAAACAAACAUUAUGGGUUUUAAGGUGUUUCCCAACUUCACCUUUUAGAUCUGGAUUUUUAAAGUCUUCCGAUCGACUUAGCUCCGCAUUUUUAUAGUCAUGCUGCUGACUUCUUAUUUGUUGUAGCUCUUUGUCAAUAUUUUCUAAUUUUGUGCAAAGUAGGUUCAUAGCUUUGAGUAUUUCUUCUAUAGUAUUUUCUUUUUC